UACGAAGGGUGCAAGCGUUACUCGGAAUUACUGGGCGUAAAGCGUGCGUAGGUGGUUUGUUAAGUCUGAUGUGAAAGCCCUGGGCUCAACCUGGGAAUUGCAUUGGAUACUGGCAGGCUAGAGUGCGGUAGAGGAUGGCGGAAUUCCCGGUGUAGCAGUGAAAUGCGUAGAGAUCGGGAGGAACACCGAUGGCGAAGGCAGGUCUCUGGGCCACUACUGACGCUGAGAAGCGAAAAGCAUGGGGAGCGAACAGG
rnacentral:rRNA from 1 species